rnacentral:misc_RNA from 1 species
GAUGAAGAACGCAGCGAAAUGCGAUAAGUAAUGUGAAUUGCAGAAUUCAGUGAAUCAUCGAAUCUUUGAACGCACAUUGCGCCCGCCAGUAUUCUGGCGGGCAUGCCUGUUCAAGCGUCAUUUCAACCAUCAAGCCCCCGGCUUGUGUUGGGGACCUGCGGCUGCCGCAGGCCCUGAAAAGCAGUGGCGGGCUCGCUGUCACACCGAGCGUAGUAGCAUACAUCUCGCUCUGGGCGUGCUGCGGGUUCCGGCCGUUAAACCACCUUCAUAACCCAAGGUUGACCUCGGAUCAGGUAGGAAGACCCGCUGAACUUAAGCAUAUCAAUAAGCGGAGGA